rnacentral:snRNA from 1 species
AUACUUACCUGGCAGGGGGAUACCAUGAUCACGAAGGUGGUUUUCCUCAGGGCGAGGCUAUCCAUUGCACUCCGGAUGUUUGCUGACCCCUGCCGAUUUCCCCAAAUGUGGGAAACUCGACUGCAUAAUUUGUGGUAGUGGGGGACUGCUGUUCGCGCUUUCCCCUG